ensembl:lncRNA novel transcript, antisense to JPH2
ACCUUCCCCUUCCCAUGCGAGAGCUGGAGAGCUUAUCCUCAGACCAAAGAGAAAGCCUAGAGGACAGGGAGGGGUCGGCGAGAUGGGAAUGACAGGGCUUUGAAGAAGACGCCAAGUCAAGUCACCUUAGAACAAUGAGUGUCAAACUUUUUGGACCAUGACUUGCAGUCGUGACCCACUGAAUUGACUUCACCAUCCACUAAUGCGUUGUCCUCUCCAGUUUGGAAGACUGCUGUUUCCUUUGUAGCAUUUGACUGCAAGAAAAGGAGGGCAGUGAAGAAGACUUCUGAACCUUUGAGGAUAAAAUGCAAGUUUCAGCUUUAUCUCCUAGCUGGAUGGCAAGUUUUGGACCUCCCAGCUUUUGCAUGCUCUGUCCUCUCGUCCUGGAGUCUCCCUCCGCCCUCGUCACCUGGCUCACUCCUGCACAUAUGUCGGGGCUUGGCUUGCAGCUGACUUCAGGAAGCCUCCCUGAAUGCCUGCGUCUGGUCAGCUGCCCACUCUGGCUUUGUUACUCCCCUGUCUGUCCCUGCCUAGCACCCAACACAGAACAGCAGGACAAUUUCCUGUUAGAUUUGCUGUGAAGACAGGGAGCGUUUCCCUUCUGCUUAUUCCUACGCCGCAGGUGUAGCGCGGGGCUAGCUGCAUCGGAGUCCCUAAAUAAAUAUUUACUGGAUGAAUUAAUAAUAGGUAAUAGUAAUAAGAGCAACCACCAUUUACUAAGUACUCAUUCAUCCCAGGAGAAGUCUUUUGAGAGAUUAGGAUAGGUCCAUUUUAUAGACAAGGAAAUUAAGGUUUGGUGAGUUUAAAUAAUGUGGCAGGGCCAGGAGAAUGACCCAGGGCUGCCUGACUCCCAGCCGUUCCUAAUCACAGGAUCUUAUUUGUCCACAUCCCCCUCAGUGAUACCCACGUCGGGGCAAAGGGUGAGUGCAGAUCCUUAACAAACCCUCAGGGGACUGAUGACAGGUUGAUUAAAGAGAUUUUCCGAAGCAGUGGCCACGUCUAAUUUUGGAGAGUUACACCUCGUGUGUGGCUUGGGAAAGAGAAUCUGUGAGGUUUCCAGGGCCGCUGGAUGUGGGGUCAUCUCAUCUGGGAGAAGUCUGGGGCUCUGACAAACCAAGGCAGCAGGGCUUCUGGUCACCUGGCCUGAAGAGCUCCUGGGCACACCUGGGAUAAAACCCAGGACCUGCAAAGCCUGUGUGAUCCAGCCCAGGCCACGAUGUCUGCACCCCUCGCUCACUCUGGCAUUCUUGCUGUUCUUCAAACCCGCCAAGCCCAGCACUGCCUCGGGGCCUUUGCAACAGGAUUCCCUCUGCCUGAGGGACCUACUUCCUCUACAGGCUCCUCCAUCCUCCUUCUGAGACGACUCCAUCUAAGAACACCUUCCUCUUCCGCCUCU